UGUUUUGUGCGUGAAUCUAAUU
rnacentral:miRNA from 1 species